rnacentral:rRNA from 1 species
AGGACGAACGCUGGCGGCGUGCCUAAUACAUGCAAGUCGAGCGCGGGAAGCAAACUGAAGCCUUCGGGCGGACGUUGUGGAACGAGCGGCGGAUGGGUGAGUAACACGUGGGCAACCUGCCUGUAAGAUUGGGAUAACUUGCGGAAACGUGAGCUAAUACCAAAUAAAGCUUCAUAUCACCUGAUGUGAAGAUGAAAGAUGGCUCCGGCUAUCACUUACAGAUGGGCCCGUGGCGCAUUAGCUAGUUGGUGGGAUAAAAGCUUACCAAGGCAACGAUGCGUAGCCGACCUGAGAGGGUGAUCGGCCACACUGGGACUGAGACACGGCCCAGACUCCUACGGGAGGCAGCAGUAGGGAAUCUUCCGCAAUGGACGCAAGUCUGACGGAAGCAACGCCGCGUGAGUGAUGAAGGUUUUCGGAUCGUAAAACUCUGUUGUUAGGGAAGAACAAGUACCGUUCGAAUAGGUCGGUACCUUGACGGUACCUAACCAGAAAGCCCCGGCUAACUACGUGCCAGCCGCCGC